UUUCGAAUAUAAUUUAAAGUUGCACAUAUAUUUCAUUAAUUUGUAUGUGUUUUAUUCAUAUUAUUUAUACUAUAUUUAUUCGCGAGUGUAACAAUUUUGCGUUCUAUUUAUGAGUGUUGGUACAUUUCAUCCCUAUCAUGAAUGAAUAGGAAGCUGUUACUACAAAAAAGUGUCCAUCCACUGCAAAUAUUGCUCGAAUAUCGAGGGAAGAAAAAUGGAAAUUUUCGAGCGUGCGGCAACCAAAGUAAAAUCCAAGGAAAAAGGUUAAAAAGAACGCGAGAUUCGAACAAGAGGUUGGGAGAUAGUGAGUUGAAAGUCUUUCAUCCGCGAGCAGCUCGUUGUUUGAUGCAUCGAUUUCUGGUCGGAAGGAAGGGAGGCCCGAGAGAAAACUUUUUCCCCCUUUCGAGUGCACGGAUCUUUGGAUUAUUUACCGAUACAAAACGCACCUCUUUAUCCCGAGUGAAGAUUGUUUACGAUUGGAAGUUGUGAGCUCAAAGCGGAUACGGAUAAAUCUAGAGAAGAACUCUGAUCGGUGAAAUUCGAUCGAAAGAGAUUUUAAUUAAUUAAUUCUAAAUAAAUAAAAUUUUUCUCUAUUUAUCCUAUCUAUCAGUCUUCCCUUCGUUCGAAUAUUCUUUGCAAAAAAAAAAAAGAAAAGAAAAAUUUUUAUUUCAGAUUUUUCAUCUCUCUCUCUCUCUCUUUUUUAAAUCCUUAACACUUAAGAGAAUUAAAUUUAAAUUUAAUAAAAAUCUGAUCUAUAUACCUAACCUAAUAUCCUCUCCAUGGUUUUCUCUGAAAUUAUUAUUAUUAUA